CCUACGGGAGGCAGCAGUAGGGAAUAUUGCUCAAUGGGGGAAACCCUGAAGCAGCAACGCCGCGUGGAGGAUGAAGGUUUUAGGAUUGUAAACUCCUUUUGUCAGAGAAGAUUAUGACGGUAUCUAACGAAUAAGCACCGGCUAACUCCGUGACAGCAGCCGCGGUAAUAUGGAGGGUGCAAGCGUUAUUCGGAAUAACGGGGCGUAAAGGGUGCGUAGGCGGGGUAAUAAGUCAGAUGUGAAAUCCUGUAGCUUAACUACAGAACUGCAUUUGAAACUGUUACUCUGGAGUGUGGGAGAGGUAGGUGGAAUUCUUGGUGUAGGGGUAAAAUCCGUAGAGAUCAAGAGGAAUACUCAUGGCGAAGGCGACCUGCUGGAACAUUACUGACGCUGAUGCACGAAAGCGUGGGGAGCAAACAGGAUUAGAUACCCGAGUAGUC
rnacentral:rRNA from 1 species